rnacentral:lncRNA from 1 species
GGAAAGGAGGUGGUUGAAAAGUAAAUAAAUGUGGGUAAAUGUGAAUAAAUGGGGAAGAUAAAAAGUUGAAGGGUGUAACGUUCGUCUCCAACGGCACUGUAACGUUCACCUAGUCUGGAGGGUGUUACGCUCAUUACAGAUGUGUGACGGGCGUCACAAGUACUUGGCGUGCCGUUCGUCAUAGAUUGUGUGACGCUCGUCACACAGUCUUUUUGGCAAGGCUUCAGCUAGUGUUCUUCAUAGUUACUUUGGUAAUAUAUUUAUUUUUAUUAUUUUGUUUUGCUUUUGCUUUUGAUUAUUUUAUUUUGCUAUUUAAUUUUCCUGCACGUCAUUCUACUUUGCACAAUGAUGCAUAUAUAUAUUGUUCUUUUUAAUAAGUCAUGUAGGCAGCAACAGUAGGGAGCAUAAUAGAUAUUACAUAAUAAAAUGAAUAAAUAGCUUCAAUAAAAUAAUCAUAAUGUAACAAGGAGAAAAACAAAAAGUGCGAAAGAGAAACAAAUACGAAUAUAAUUUGAAAUAACAUUAACGAAUUAAUCUAGCUUAAGACUAAAUGACUAAGAAAAACAAAUAAAUUAUAUCCAUCUGCACGAUCUCUGGCCGGAGGAGCAAAGGAGUUAACACGGUAUAGCAACUCGUGAAACUGGUUUGUCAUACUGUUCAUGUAUCCCAGAAAUUCGUGCCUCAAGCUAGUGAACU